GACGAACGCUGGCGGCGUGCUUAACACAUGCAAGUCACGGGGGGUAGCAAUACCAACCGGCGAACGGGUGCGUAACACGUGAGCAACCUACCGAUUUGAGGGGGAUAGCCGGCCUAACGG
rnacentral:rRNA from 1 species